rnacentral:lncRNA from 1 species
CUGGGUAUGGAGGGUCAGUAGCUGCCAGAGACUGAGAACCCUAAGCUGGAGUCUCACAGCUCAUUGACCCCUAUUCCCAGAGAGGGAAACUGAGGCCUGAGAGCAAGGGUCCGGGCCAGGACUUGCCCAGAGUCCCCAGCAAAACACGGCAGGCAGUGCCGGACCAUCACUCACCUGGGGUCUUAAGGGAGGCUGGUCUCCCUGCCACCCUCAGAGUGCUCCCAUCCUGACCCGUUCCUAGAGUUCCCAGGGCUCCCUGGUAGGUCGCCUAGGGGUCCCCGGAGGGAAGGGCGGGUGGAGACUUGGGGAAUGUGCUAGUGUCCCAGUCGCCCUGGAAGAUACUGCUCUAGACUUCAUUGGUGGGCACUCCUGGGUACGCGGACCCCGUGGUCACAGGUGCACAGACCCAGAGGCUCACAGGUGCACAGAAGCUCUCUCCUCGCUCCCUAGCGUGCAGGACCAGCCAUGCAGCUCUGUGGACUCGGAGGUUGAGGUCAAGGGAAGAUCCUGCUGCUGCUGCUGCUGAUCCCCCAGCUCUGCACCAGGUGACUGAGGGUGCAAGUCUCCAGAGCAUCCCUCCAGGGGAGGCGAUAGGGCAGGGUCCAGCCCUGGGCAGGGUGGCCAGGGCCGUGGCUCUGGAGAUGUGGAGGGAACCAGGUCAAAGGGCACAGCCGGAUCAAGGUCCAGUUGCCGUAGCAGAUGUGGCAUGGCCAGCCUGGGUCCCGCACCUUGUGCUCUCGAGCACAGUUCUCAAACGUCUUGAUCUCAGGACCCCUUUACUCUGAACAGUCACUGAACUUCAGUGCUGUAGCUUACGUGGUUAAAUCUAAGAGUUACCAUAUUAGAAAUUAAAGCCAAUAAAUAUUUAGUAAUUCAUCUACAAUAUUGGUUAAAAUAGUAAUUCACCAAAAUGGAAAAUCAGUAUUUAUUAAAUCACUAGAAACAAAGUAAAUGACAAUAUAUUAUUUAUAUGUGAAUAUAUAGAUUUGAAAAUAAAUUAACAUUUAUACAGAAUAACACUAAUUUAGGUAUAUGAAUUUAUUAAAAAAAAUAAACCCGUAACAUGUUAACAUUAUGGCAAAUAGUGAUUUUUAAAUGGAGAAAUUAAGUAUUUUCUGCAAUAAUAACAACAAACUUAACAACAUGGGUGUCAUUGUUUUAUAUUUUUGCAAAAUCUUUGUCUGGCUUACCAGGAGACAGGUAGAUCCUCAUUUAUUGGCUGCCGUGUUCACUGUGUUGUGACAUGUUUUGGCUGGAGUAUAUAAGGAAGGUCCAGCCUCUCAUAGACCAGUUACUAUUGGGGAAAGAGAGGGUAUUUUAAUGCCUCUUUUAGGAAAUUAUGGCCAGUCUGCUUUGAUAUCACACCUUUCCUAGACAGGUGGUAGUUUAUUAAAGAUUAGGACGUACAUUCUGAAACCAGCUUGAUGAAUUUUAUGAAAUUUGCAUGCUCUGUUGUAGUAAAGCCCCUCGGUCUACUUUGCACUUUGAAAUGGCUCUUCUACCCAUAUGUGAUUUUGUAGCAUAGAGUGUUUGUCACCUGGCAAACACAGGUUCACACAGUGAUGUGGAUCUAGAUGUCAGCAUGUUUUAUCAGACCUUGUCCAUAAAGCACCUUUGUUAACAUAGCUAUCAGUUUCAUCAGGAAAGUCUAUAGCUGUUGGGAAUCCCAGGCUCACAGUGGAAGACACAAGUUUUCCAAAAUCCCAAUUUUUGCUCGAGAGCUCAAAAUUUUAUCAUUGGCAACAAACACCAUCAGUUGUUUACCUUGAAGUGGCCAGCUCACAUCAUUCAUUUCCAAGAACAUGCCAUCAACAACUGAACAGUCUGUCCAUGGGUCAUUCUUUCAAGUAAAAGUGGUGUUCCAUGAAACAAGUAGCUAGUUCAGCUUGUAACUCAAAUGUCAAUUGCACAAGUGCUUUUCCUCAGGGCGGCCAUUGUCUUUCACUGUGCAAUACAAGGGCCAGGUAUGAACUGUGUAUUUCUGCAUGUGGGAUCUUAAAAAUUUAUGCAUCACAAAUUUUGUGUAAAUCACAAAUUGAGAUUUAACAAGAGUAAGUAUUUUUACUCUUUUAUCAGCACUUUUUAAAGAGAAACUGGAUUUUUUUUUUUUCCUGUGGGUACAUGGUGGUGAAGGACACUAGUAGAAUUUGGUGCCACUGCUUUGGUGUGGGCCAAGGUUCUAGCAACUUUAUCCGCCAUGGCUUUUGGGCCAUUGGUGUAAAUGUCCACUCAGCGAAAGGGGCAUAUGAAAAGUUUUGACCUCACAGGUCACCUGAAGGAUCUCAGGUCCCUGGGAUUCCACUGAAUAUAUUUUGAGAACCACUGAUCUAGCUGCACUGGGCUCUUCUCCUGCCCAUGUGCCUGCUGUUGGUUGACUCACAUGGAAUUGUUGAUAUUUGGUCAGAUUGUCUCUACAUCUUUGUAUGUUCUGUUCCACCUACCUGGAGUGUCCUUCCCAUCUGUCGAAAUUCUUCUUUCAGGCCGCCAAGUCUGUUGCUCAUUUUCUUUCCCAAGAUGCACAUCACAGUCUUCCUCUGGCCAAGAGCUGUCUUGUCUGUUCAUUGGCAAGUGGCUUGAUGGCAGAGGACCAACCACAUUUGUCUUUGUCCCCCCAGGGUCUGGCAGAACCCUGACUGCCCUGAACAGAGGUGGAGGUGAGCAGUAGCUUCAGGGAACCUCGGGCUGUGGAAGUUGUGUGACUCCAGCAGCUACCUAAGGCAAAGGAUCUGGGUGCCCCUGAUCCCAGUGCCCACCCAGUGGCCACUUCAUAAAUGACAGCCUGAUAUUCAGGAGGAAGCCAAUCCUUCCGAAGUCUGGACUCUUCUAUCAGAAGGAAUGCCUGGGGCAUUUACCCUGGAACCCAGCCACCAAGCUAUAAGGUAGGCCAGGCCUUGUGGGAGGCCACGUGCAGGUGUCCCAGCCAGCGACUCUACUGAGGACCCAGCCAGGGCUAUGGACGUGAACCCCAGAUGUUUGAGUGAGGAGAGCUUCAAGAUUCCUGCAGUCCCAGCUGCCGUCUGAUGUAUUAUCAGAAUUAACUUGUGUCUGCACACCUGGACACUUGCCUGGUGUGGAGACCCCCACACCUGGUGUCAGAAGAGCAGUCGCAGGAAAUGUCUUGGGUGGACGUUCAGGUACCGCUGCCUCCGGGCUACGUGAAUAAAUCACAGCCGACAGGCCUCUGGUUAACUCUAGAGUUGGAAGCAGUCAUUUCUCUUUUUCCUUUUUUUUGUCCUCCUUGUCCUCAUUCUCCUUUCUGGAAAAUUAAAGAGUAGCUCCUGUACAUCUGUGUUUGUGGUCUGUGACCUCGACCUUGCAUAGGAAUUUAAACACUGUGUUUAGCGGAUCCCCUGGGCUCAUAUAGGUAGUAUUUUUAUAUAUAUUGUAA